rnacentral:rRNA from 1 species
CGUACGAGAGGCAGCAGUGGGGAAUUUUGGGCAGUGGGCGCAAGCCUGAUCCAGCAAUGCCGCGUGUGUGAAGAAGGCCUUCGGGUUGUAAAGCACUUUUGUCAGGAAGAAACGGUGAGGGCUAAUAUCCCUGCUAAUGACGUA